rnacentral:rRNA from 1 species
GACGUAGGGGGCCAGCGUUGUUCGGAAUUACUGGGUGUAAAGGGUUCGUAGGCGGUGCGGCAAGUUGGGAGUGAAAUCUCUGGGCUUAACCCAGAGGCUGCUUCCAAAACUGCUGUGCUUGAGUGUGGGAGAGGCGCGUGGAAUUGCAGGUGUAGCGGUGAAAUUCGUAGAUAUUCGGAAGAACACCAGUGGCGAAGGCGGCUCACUGGCCCGGUACUGACGCUGAGGUGCGAAAGCGUGGGGAGCAAACAGG